GGUUCUAUGGCGUAAAGGUUAGCACUCUGGACUUUAAAUACAACGAUCCAAGUUCAAAUCUCGGUAGAACCU
rnacentral:tRNA from 1 species